GAUGAACGCUAGCGAUAGGCCUAACACAUGCAAGUCGAGGGGCAGCAUAGAGUAGCAAUACUUUGAUGGCGACCGGCGCACGGGUGAGUAACACGUAUGCAACCUACCUACAUCAGGGGAAUAACCCGGAGAAAUUCGGACUCAUACCGCAUAAUACAGGGAUGCCGCAUGGCAAUAUUUGUUAAAGAUUUAUCGGACGUAGAGGGGCAUGCGUUCCAUUAGCUAGCUAGUAAGGUAACGGCUUAGCAAGGCAACGAUGGAUAGGGGAACUGAGAGGUUUGUCCCCCACACUGGAACUGAGACACGGACCAGACUCCUACGGGAGGCAGCAGUGAGGAAUAUUGGUCAAUGGACGAGAGUCUGAACCAGCCAAAUCGCGUGAAGGAAGACUGCCCUACGGGUUGUAAACUUCUUUUGUACAGGAAUAAAAGACAUUACGUGUAAUGUAUUGCAUGUACUGUACGAAUAAGCAUCGGCUAACUCCGUGCCAGCCGCCGCCGUAA
rnacentral:rRNA from 1 species